AGUAUGAGAACCUGAGUCAGGAACU
rnacentral:piRNA from 1 species